rnacentral:tRNA from 3 species
GGGCGCAUAGCUCAGCUGGCUAGAGCCACCGGCUCAUAACCGGUCGGUCGUAGGUUCGAGUCCUACUGCGCCCACCA